rnacentral:rRNA from 1 species
UACGAAGGGGGCUAGCGUUGCUCGGAAUCACUGGGCGUAAAGGGUGCGUAGGCGGGUCUUUAAGUCAGGGGUGAAAUCCUGGAGCUCAACUCCAGAACUGCCUUUGAUACUGAGGAUCUUGAGUUCGGGAGAGGUGAGUGGAACUGCGAGUGUAGAGGUGAAAUUCGUAGAUAUUCGCAAGAACACCGGUGGCGAAGGCGGGUCUCUGGGCAUCUCCUGACGCUGAGGCGCGAAAGCGUGGGGAGCAAACGGG